AACGAACGCUGGCGGCAGGCUUAACACAUGCAAGUCGAACGCCCCGCAAGGGGAGUGGCAGACGGGUGAGUAACGCGUGGGAAUCUACCCAGUUCUACGGAACAACUGAGGGAAACUUCAGCUAAUACCGUAUACGCCCUACGGGGGAAAGAUUUAUCGGAAUUGGAUGAGCCCGCGUUGGAUUAGCUAGUUGGUGAGGUAACGGCUCACCAAGGCGACGAUCCAUAGCUGGUCUGAGAGGAUGAUCAGCCACACUGGGACUGAGACACGGCCCAGACUCCUACGGGAGGCAGCAGUGGGGAAUAUUGGACAAUGGGCGCAAGCCUGAUCCAGCCAUGCCGCGUGAGUGAUGAAGGCCUUAGGGUGUAAAGCUCUUUCAGUGGGACGAUAAUGACGGUACCCACAGAAGAAGCCCCGGCUAACUUCGUGCCAGCAGCCGCGGUAAUAGUCACGUGUA
rnacentral:rRNA from 1 species